rnacentral:rRNA from 1 species
AGGCGGUUUGUCGCGUCUGCUGUGAGAGCCCGGGGCUUAACCCCGGGUGUGCAGUGGGUACGGGCAGACUUGAGUGCAGUAGGGGAGACUGGAACUCCUGGUGUAGCGGUGAAAUGCGCAGAUAUCAGGAAGAACACCGAUGGCGAAGGCAGGUCUCUGGGCUGUUACUGACGCUGAGGAGCGAAAGCAUGGGGAGCGAACAGGAUUAGAUACCCUGGUAGUCCAUGCCGUAAACGUUGGGCACUAGGUGUGGGGGACAUUCCACGUUUUCCGCGCCGUAGCUAACGCAUUAAGUGCCCCGCCUGGGGAGUACGGCCGCAAGGCUAAAACUCAAAGGAAUUGACGGGGGCCCGCACAAGCGGCGGAGCAUGCGGAUUAAUUCGAUGCAACGCGAAGAACCUUACCAAGGCUUGACAUACACCGGACCGGCUCAGAGAUGGGUUUUCCUCCUUGUGGGGCUGGUGUACAGGUGGUGCAUGGUUGUCGUCAGCUCGUGUCGUGAGAUGUUGGGUUAAGUCCCGCAACGAGCGCAACCCUCGUUCUAUGUUGCCAGCACGUGAUGGUGGGGACUCAUAGGAGACUGCCGGGGUCAACUCGGAGGAAGGUGGGGAUGACGUCAAAUCAUCAUGCCCCUUAUGUCUUGGGCUUCACGCAUGCUACAAUGGCCAGUACAAUGGGUUGCGAUACCGUGAGGUGGAGCUAAUCCCAAAAAGCUGGUCUCAGUUCGGAUCGUGGUCUGCAACUCGACCACGUGAAGUCGGAGUCGCUAGUAAU